UCCCUACGGGGGGCUGCAGUGGGGAAUUUUGGACAAUGGGCGCAAGCCUGAUCCAGCAAUGCCGCGUGCAGGAUGAAGGCCUUCGGGUUGUAAACUGCUUUUGUACGGAGCGAAAAGGCUCUCUCUAAUACAGGGGGCUCAUGACGGUACCGUAAGAAUAAGCACCGGCUAACUACGUGCCAGCAGCCGCGGUAAUACGUAGGGUGCAAGCGUUAAUCGGAAUUACUGGGCGUAAAGCGUGCGCAGGCGGUUAUGUAAGACAGAUGUGAAAUCCCCGGGCUCAACCUGGGAACUGCAUUUGUGACUGCAUAGCUAGAGUACGGCAGAGGGGGAUGGAAUUCCGCGUGUAGCAGUGAAAUGCGUAGAUAUGCGGAGGAACACCGAUGGCGAAGGCAAUCCCCUGGGCCUGUACUGACGCUCAUGCACGAAAGCGUGGGGAGCAAACAGGAUUAGAUACCCGGGUAGUC
rnacentral:rRNA from 1 species